AAGCAUCACCCCAGCUUCCUGCCUCGCUGGUCCCCACAGCCUGCCCGUGUCCCUGUUUCUCUUUUCCUUUCCGUCCUCCUACAAGGAUGCUCCAACCCUGCAUGAUCUCAUCUUGUGAUCCUCACCUUCAUGACUUCCGCAAGAACCCUUAUUCCAAACAAGGCCACAUGCUGAGAGUCCAGUGGCCAGGUGGGACAAGAUGUCCUCCUCCUGUUUCAUCUCUCCUCUGCCUCCAGUGUCUGCCCUUGCCUUGUCUGCUGGCAGAGCACCCUACCUGCUCCCCCCUCCUGCCUCUGAGACCCUGCAAGUCGCUCUGCACCUAGCAGCUACUGCGCUCUUUGAGAAGUUGGUCAGACCUGAUAGUUUCCUGCCGGCACCCUGAAUGGCUCCCACUGAACUUGGAAUAAAACACCAACUCCUUGUAUUUGCCUCCUGAAACAUCCAAGUCUGCUCUUUCCUGAAGGCCUUUGCACCUGCUAUUGGCCUCUGCCAGGAAUGUGCAUUGCCGCGAAUGUCACAUGGUUGGCUCCUUCCUCCCUCUCAGACUUUUCCUAACACCACCCAUACAAAGUAGUGCC
rnacentral:lncRNA from 1 species